rnacentral:rRNA from 1 species
GUGGGGAAUCUUGCGCAAUGGGCGAAAGCCUGACGCAGCCAUGCCGCGUGAAUGAUGAAGGUCUUAGGAUUGUAAAAUUCUUUCACCGGGGACGAUAAUGACGGUACCCGGAGAAGAAGCCCCGGCUAACUUCGUGCCAGCAGCCGCGGUAAUACGAAGGGGGCUAGCGUUGCUCGGAAUUACUGGGCGUAAAGGGCGCGUAGGCGGAUCGUUAAGUCAGGGGUGAAAUCCCAGAGCUCAACUCUGGAACUGCCCUGGAUACUGGCGAUCUUGAGUGUGAGAGAGGUAUGUGGAACUCCGAGUGUAGAGGUGAAAUUCGUAGAUAUUCGGAAGAACACCAGUGGCGAAGGCGACAUACUGGCUCAUUACUGACGCUGAGGCGCGAAAGCGUGGGGAGCAAACAGGAUUAGAUACCCGGGUAUCC